AGAUUGAACGCUGGCGGCAGGCCUAACACAUGCAAGUCGAGCGGCAGCACGGGUACUUGUACCUGGUGGCGAGCGGCGGACGGGUGAGUAAUGCCUAGGAAUCUGCCUGGUAGUGGGGGAUAACGCUCGGAAACGGACGCUAAUACCGCAUACGUCCUACGGGAGAAAGCAGGGGACCUUCGGGCCUUGCGCUAUCAGAUGAGCCUAGGUCGGAUUAGCUAGUUGGUGAGGUAAUGGCUCACCAAGGCGACGAUCCGUAACUGGUCUGAGAGGAUGAUCAGUCACACUGGAACUGAGACACGGUCCAGACUCCUACGGGAGCAGCAGUGGGGAAUAGUUGGACAAGUGGGACGGAAGCCUGGAUCCGAGCCAUGCCGCGUGUGUGAAGAAGGUCUUCGGAUUAGUAAAGCUAACGUUUUAAGGUGGUAAGGAAGGACAAGUUACCUAAUACGUUAUCGUGUUUUAGACGUUAACCGACAAGUAAUAAGACACCGG
rnacentral:rRNA from 1 species